CCUACGGGAGGCAGCAGUGGGGAAUAUUGCACAAUGGGCGAAACCCUGAUGCAGCGACGCCGCGUGGGUGAGGAAGUACUUCGGUAUGUAAAGCCCUGUCAGCAGGGAAGAAAAUGACGGUACCUGACUAAGAAGCCCCGGCUAACUACGUGCCAGCAGCCGCGGUAAUACGUAGGGGGCAAGCGUUAUCCGGAUUUACUGGGUGUAAAGGUAGCGUAGACGGCGUGCCAAGUCGAAUGUGAAAGGCCGGGGCUCAACCCCGGGACUGCAUUGGAAACUGGCAUGCUGGAGUGCCGGAGGGGAAAGCGGAAUUCCGGGGGUAGGGGUGAAAUGCGUAGAUAUGAGGAGGAAAACCGGUGGCGAAGGCGGCUUGCUGGCCGGUAACUGACGUUGAGGAGCGAAAGCGUGGGGAGCAAACAGGAUUAGAUACCCGUGUAGUC
rnacentral:rRNA from 1 species